rnacentral:rRNA from 1 species
UACGUAGGGUGCAAGCGUUAAUCGGAAUUACUGGGCGUAAAGCGUGCGCAGGCGGCUUUGCAAGACAGAUGUGAAAUCCCCGGGCUUAACCUGGGAACUGCAUUUGUGACUGCAUGGCUGGAGUGCGGCAGAGGGGGGAUGGAAUUCCGCGUGUAGCAGUGAAAUGCGUAGAUAUGCGGAGGAACACCGAUGGCGAAGGCAAUCCCCUGGCCU